AUGAGGGGGGCGGCGCUGGUGGCACUCGCGGCGGCGCUGGGCAACAUGCUGCAGGGGUGGGACAACGCCACCAUCGCCGGCUCGCUGCUCUACAUCAAGCGCGACUUCGGCCUGCACGGCCAGCCCGCCCUCCAGGGCCUCGUGGUCGCCACCUCGCUCAUCGGCGCCACCCUCAUCACCACCUUCUCCGGCCCGCUCUCUGACCGCGUUGGCCGCCGCCCCAUGCUCGUUGCCUCCUCCCUCCUCUACGCGCUCGCGGGGCUGCUAAUGCUCUGGUCCCCCACCGUCGGCGUGCUCCUCCUCGCCCGCCUCGUCGAUGGCUUCGCGGUCGGCCUCGCCGUCACGCUCGUCCCCGUCUACAUCUCGGAGACCGCGCCGCCCGAGGUCCGUGGGCUGCUCAGCACGCUCCCGCAGCUCACCGGGUCGACCGGCAUGUUUCUCGCCUAUUGCAUGGUGUUCGCCAUGACGCUCGCGCCCAGCCCCAAUUGGCGGGUCAUGAUGGGGGUGCUUGUCUUGCCAUCGCUUGUCUACGUCGCUGUGGCCGUGCUUUUCCUGCCGGAGUCGCCGCGCUGGCUGGUGAGCAAGGGAAGGAUGAAGGAGGCCCGGACCGUGCUGCGGAUGCUCAGGGGCCGCGAGGACGUCGACGGCGAGAUGGCGCUCCUCGCCGAGGGCCUCGGCGCCGGUGGCGACACCGCCAUCGAGGAGUACAUCGUCGGCCCGGCGCCCGAAGAAGACGAUCAGGCUGACCAGGCCGGUGCCGCCAUCAGGCUAUACGGGCCAGAGCGCGGGAUGUCGUGGGUCGCGCAGCCGGUGCCACUGGGCGGCCAGGGCAGCAUGCUCUCCACGGGCAUGUCGCGGCAGGGCAGCUUGCUCGGCAGCAUCGCCGGGCUGUCGCGGAUGGGCAGCAUGCUUGACCAUCUCCAAGAUCCCGUAGUCGCCCUCCUUGGCGGCCUCCAUGACAUGAAGCCCGCCGCCGACGGCAACGGCAACACCCUCUUCACCAACUUCGGCAGCAUGCUCAGCGCCCACGGCGGCAUGGACUGGGACGAGGAGAACGCCGCGCCCAGCGAUGAUGACGACAAUAUUGCUGCCGGCGCCGGCGAAGACGACGUAGAAGACGGGGGCCUCAAGGCGCCACUGCUAGACAUGCGGGGGCAGAGCAGCAUGACCGGCAGCGGGAUCGGCAUGGGCCAGAGCCAGACGACGAGCACCAUGGGCAUCGGCGGCGGGUGGCAGCUGGCGUGGAAGUGGACGGAGGGCGUCGCGCCGGACGGCACGCGACAGAGCGCCGUCCAGAGGAUGUACCUGCACGAGGAGCCGGGCGGCGACGGCCAGCACGUGCACGCGGCGGCGCUGGUCAACCAGUCGGCACUCUACAGCACCACCAACGACAACCUGCAGCCGGACGAUGCGAUCACCCCGAUGGGCCCAGCGAUGGUUCAUCCGGCGUCGUCUCCGGCGGCAGAGAAGCCGCGGUGGCGGGACCUGCUGGAGCCGGGCGUCCGGCACGCGCUGGUGUGCGGCGUGGCAAUCCAGAUCCUGCAACAGUUCUCCGGCAUCAGCGGCAUCCUCUACUACACGCCGCAGAUUCUUGACCAGGCCGGCGUCAGCGUCCUCCUCUCCAACCUCGGCCUAACCUCCGACUCCGCCGCCAUCCUCAUCUCCGGCCUGACCACGCUCCUCAUGCUCCCCGCCAUCGCCGUCGCCAUGCGGCUCAUGGACGUGGCCGGCCGCCGGAGCCUCCUUCUCUGGACGAUCCCAGUGCUGAUUGUCUCCCUGGUGUCCCUCGUGACGGCGGAUGUGCUCCCCUUGGCGACCACCCUGCACGCCGCCGUGUCGACGACGAGCAUCAUCGUCUACAUCUGCACGUUCGUCAUGGGGUUCGGGCCCAUCCCCGGCAUCUUGUGCUCCGAGAUCUUUCCGACGAGGGUGCGCGGAAUGUGCAUCGCCAUCUGCUCCCUCGCCUUCUGGCUCAGCAACAUCGCCGUCACCUACAGCAUGCCGGUGAUGCUCGACUACUUGGGGCUCACCGGGGUCUUCUCCAUCUACGCCGCCGUGUGCUGUGUCGCGCUCGCCUUCGUCGCGCUUCGGGUGCCCGAGACCAAGGGCCUGCCGCUCGAGGUCAUCGCCGAGUUCUUCAACGUCGCCUCCAAGGGCAUGCCAAAGCUCGACCACGACGAAUGA
rnacentral:rRNA from 1 species